UACGAGGGGGCGAGGCGUUGUUCGGAAUUAUUGGGCGUAAAGGGUGCGUAGGCGGUUUGGUAAGUCUUGUGUGAAAUCUUCGGGCUUAACUCGAAGUCUGCACUGGAAACUGCCGGGCUUGAGUGUGGGAGAGGUGAGUGGAAUUCCCGGUGUAGAGGUGAAAUUCGUAGAUAUUGGGAAGAACACCGGUGGCGAAGGCGGCUCUCUGGACCGUAACUGACGCUGAGGCGCGAAAAGCGUGGGGGAGCAAACAGG
rnacentral:rRNA from 1 species